rnacentral:rRNA from 1 species
UACGAAGGGGGCUAGCGUUGUUCGGAAUUACUGGGCGUAAAGCGCACGUAGGCGGAUAUUUAAGUGAGGGGUGAAAUCCCAGGGCUCAACCCUGGAACUGCCUCUCAUACUGGGUAUCUCGAGUUCGAGAGAGGUGAGUGGAAUUGACGGUGUAGCGGUGAAAUGCAUAGAUAUCGUCAAGAACACCGAUAGCGAAGGCAGCUUACUGGGCUGUAACUGACGCUCAUGCACGAAAGCGUGGGGAGCAAACAGG